rnacentral:lncRNA from 10 species
CACCAUGGGCUGUCAUCGCUGAGGCCAUAAAAAGCCAAAAGCACUACCCUUGAGUCAUCCUAGCCCCUUGGAGCCAAAAACGUAGCAACGUCACGUCUGUAGUUGACCUCGGUUCCGGGCACCUUCCUGAGCAUUCUUCGGGAGGCACUUGUGAAACUCAGCCCAGGUGCUGCCCAGGAUCAGGAGGCUGAGACGUGAUCUGGAAGUGAGUGCCCAUCCAUACACCUUCCCCAGCUUUGGGGCCACAGAGGGACAGAAACCGCAGGCAGGCUGGCCUGGGAAUGAACCUACACCAGCCUGAAGUCAGAAGAGCCUCUAGGAGCCUCCAGCCUGGACUCUUUUUACAGAUGGGGAAACUGAGUCCCAGAGAGGGAGCAAUGAAGGAUGUCUAAGGUCAUCAGCAACGUAAAGCCAACAGCAUCAUCCUGAGUCAUGUUUGAACCUGAGAUUUUGAAAAUGUUUAUGGGACUGGAGAGAGGAAGACAGAGCAGAACAAAAGGAAUUAAUAACCAUCGUGUGCUUGAUUCUUAAUGAACCCAGUCAAGAAUCUCGGCCAAUAUGACAUACUUUUGCUCUCUCGGGGGCAGAGGGUGGCUUUUCAGCCUAAUUUUAAAAGAAAAAUUAUGCCUGACUUACUCUUCGGACACAAUCUCAGAAUGUGUUGGGGCUGACUAUUGAUACAUGGUAUGGAAGGCAGCUUUCUCCUAGUUACUCUUAUUUUUUCUGGGAGAGCUCAGCCAACUGCAAUGUGGACCAACUGUAGUAGCCUAGUCCAUGCAUUCAGUUUGUUUCUUGAGUACCUACUCUGCUCUGGGCACCUGGUAGGCACUAGAGGCAUAUUUGAGAGCAAAUACUACAUGGCAUCUUCACUCCUGAGCUUACAGAUUCCUGGGGAAACACACUAAUGAAAUAAUCUCUCUCUCUCUCUCUGUACACACACACACACACACACACACACA